rnacentral:rRNA from 1 species
GGUUAAGUGACUAAGCGUACACGGUGGAUGCCUUGGCAGUCAGAGGCGAUGAAAGGACGUAGUAACUUGCGAUAAGCCCAGAUUAGGUAGUAAAACCAUUUGAGUCUGGGAUUUCCGAAUGGGGAAACCCAACGUGCAUAAGCACGUAUCCUUUACCUGAAUACAUAGGGUAAGAGGGCGAACCGGGGGAACUGAAACAUCUAAGUACCCCGAGGAAAAGAAAUCAACCGAGAUUCCGAAAGUAGCGGCGAGCGAAAUUGGACUAGCCCUUAAGCUUUACACGCGUUAGACGAACGGUCUGGAAAGUCCGACGAUACAGGGUGAUAGUCCCGUAGUUGACGACGUGUGUUCAGUGAAAUCGAGUAGGGCGGGACACGUGAUAUCCUGUCUGAAUAUGGGGGGACCAUCCUCCAAGGCUAAAUACUACUGACUGACCGAUAGUGAACCAGUACCGUGAGGGAAAGGCGAAAAGAACCCCUGUGAGGGGAGUGAAAUAGAACCUGAAACCGUGUACGUACAAGCAGUAGGAGCAGGCUUUGUCCUGUGACUGCGUACCUUUUGUAUAAUGGGUCAGCGACUUAUAUUCAGUGGCAAGGUUAACCAUCUAGGGGAGCCGUAGGGAAACCGAGUCUUAACUGGGCGUUCAGUCUCUGGAUAUAGACCCGAAACCAGGUGAUCUAGCCAUGGGCAGGUUGAAGGUUGAGUAACAUCAACUGGAGGACCGAACCGACUAAUGUUGAAAAAUUAGCGGAUGACUUGUGGCUAGGGGUGAAAGGCCAAUCAAACCUGGAGAUAGCUGGUUCUCCCCGAAAGCUAUUUAGGUAGCGCCUCGGACGAAUACUACUGGGGGUAGAGCACUGUUAAGGCUAGGGGGUCAUCCCGACUUACCAACCCUUUGCAAACUCCGAAUACCAGUAAGUACUAUCCGGGAGACACACGGCGGGUGCUAACGUCCGUCGUGGAGAGGGAAACAACCCAGACCGCCAGCUAAGGUCCCAAAUUACUACUAAGUGGGAAACGAUGUGGGAAGGCUCAGACAGCCAGGAUGUUGGCUUAGAAGCAGCCAUCAUUUAAAGAAAGCGUAAUAGCUCACUGGUCGAGUCGGCCUGCGCGGAAGAUGUAACGGGGCUAAGUAGUAAACCGAAGCUGCGGCAAUGUGCUUUUGCACAUUGGGUAGGGGAGCGUUCUGUAAGCGGUUGAAGGUGUGUGGUAACGCAUGCUGGACGUAUCAGAAGUGCGAAUGCUGACAUGAGUAACGAUAAAGGGGGUGAAAAACCUCCUCGCCGGAAGACCAAGGGUUCCUGUCCAACGUUAAUCGGGGCAGGGUAAGUCGACCCCUAAGGCGAGGCCGAAAGGCGUAGUCGAUGGGAAACGGGUUAAUAUUCCCGUACUUCUUACAAUUGCGAUGGGGGGACGGAGAAGGCUAGGUGGGCCUGGCGACGGUUGUCCAGGUUCAAGUGCGUAGGCUUAAGAGUUAGGUAAAUCCGGCUCUUUUUAAGGCUGAGACACGACGUCGAGCAUCUACGGAUGUGAAGUCAUUGAUGCCAUGCUUCCAGGAAAAGCCUCUAAGCUUCAGAUUGUAAGGAAUCGUACCCCAAACCGACACAGGUGGUCGGGUAGAGAAUACCAAGGCGCUUGAGAGAACUCGGGUGAAGGAACUAGGCAAAAUGGUACCGUAACUUCGGGAGAAGGUACGCUCUCGACGGUGAAGUCCCUCGCGGAUGGAGCUAUUGAGAGUCGCAGAUACCAGGUGGCUGCAACUGUUUAUUAAAAACACAGCACUGUGCAAAAUCGUAAGAUGACGUAUACGGUGUGACGCCUGCCCGGUGCCGGAAGGUUAAUUGAUGGGGUUAGACUUCGGUCGAAGCUCUUGAUCGAAGCCCCGGUAAACGGCGGCCGUAACUAUAACGGUCCUAAGGUAGCGAAAUUCCUUGUCGGGUAAGUUCCGACCUGCACGAAUGGCGUAAUGAUGGCCACGCUGUCUCCACCCGAGACUCAGUGAAAUUGAAAUCGCUGUGAAGAUGCAGUGUACCCGCGGCUAGACGGAAAGACCCCGUGAACCUUUACUACAGCUUGGCACUGAACAUUGACCCUACAUGUGUAGGAUAGGUGGGAGGCUUUGAAGCACGUACGCCAGUAUGUGUGGAGCCGUCCUUGAAAUACCACCCUUGUAGUGUUGAUGUUCUAACGUCGACCCCUUAUCGGGGUUGCGGACAGUGCCUGGUGGGUAGUUUGACUGGGGCGGUCUCCUCCCAAAGAGUAACGGAGGAGCACGAAGGUGGGCUAAUCACGGUUGGACAUCGUGAGGUUAGUGCAAUGGCAUAAGCCCGCUUGACUGCGAGAAUGACAAUUCGAGCAGGUGCGAAAGCAGGUCAUAGUGAUCCGGUGGUUCUGAAUGGAAGGGCCAUCGCUCAACGGAUAAAAGGUACUCCGGGGAUAACAGGCUGAUACCGCCCAAGAGUUCAUAUCGACGGCGGUGUUUGGCACCUCGAUGUCGGCUCAUCACAUCCUGGGGCUGAAGUCGGUCCCAAGGGUAUGGCUGUUCGCCAUUUAAAGUGGUACGCGAGCUGGGUUUAGAACGUCGUGAGACAGUUCGGUCCCUAUCUGCCGUGGGCGUUGGAAGAUUGAAGGGGGCUGCUCCUAGUACGAGAGGACCGGAGUGGACGAACCUCUGGUGUUCGGGUUGUGUCGCCAGACGCAUUGCCCGGUAGCUAAGUUCGGAAUCGAUAACCGCUGAAAGCAUCUAAGCGGGAAGCGAGCCCUGAGAUGAGUCUUCCCUGAUACUUUAAGUAUCCUAAAGGGUUGUCGGAGACUACGACGUUGAUAGGUCAGGUGUGUAAGUGCUGUGAGGCAUUGAGCUAACUGAUACUAAUUGCCCGUGAGGCUUAACCAU